UUAUAUUUAACUCUAUGGUUGAUUUUGCUGUACUUCAUGCGUGCACUAUUUUUUAGGAGAGCUAUUCAAUUCUAGGGAGUAUUUGAUGAUUCCGGGGGGAUGAAAAUUGAAGUAGAGUGGUUAAAGAUGCUCCUGUAUAGAUGUGCAGAUUCUCAGCAGACCAAGAAUUCCAGUACCUUUCCCUGAUCUCUCU